GCAUAAGUCGAGGUGGUUAUCAGUGGUUGUUGGAGGUGGUUGGCGGUGGUUGGAGGUGGUCGGAGGUGGACGAGAUGAGGGACGAGGAAUACGAGAACAAGAUGGACGAGGAGGGCGAAGAUUAGUGCUCGGUAUAACCCGUGGUGGUUGGAGGUGGUUGGCGGCGGUCGGAGGUGGUUGCAGCUGAUCGAGGAGGUGGACGAAGAAGACGAGAAGAACGAGGAUUUCUGCACGGUGUAAGCUGAGGUGGUUAUCGGUG
rnacentral:lncRNA from 1 species